UUAUUAAACAUUAAUUUUAAGUAGCAGAAUUAUUCCUGUUGAAUUAUUUCUGUUCUCUGACUUACUUUUCUUUCUACUAACAUUUCAUUACCAAGGUAGGUAACAUCAUCAGGGCAUACUGAAAUGCAGUUUACUGGUUGUUUCGAUGAGUAGUUUGUCUAUAGCUAAUGAUGCUGCCUAUUCUGUCAUGACAUGUUUACUGAAGAGAAGCAAGUUCAGAGACAAUCAGGGAUCCAAUGAGCAACAAGAUUAUCCUCUAUGACAGGGGCAGGGAAUGAUGGCUCUUCUAUGACUUGUGGACUUCAAUUCCCAGAAUUCCUGAGCCAACCAUGCUUAAAGUCAUAAAGGGGUCAUCAUUCCUGACCUCUGUUCUAUGAGAAUGAUCCCUGUUGUUGGGACACAAGUGAUGCCUUUAUCUGUUAUAGGUUCUCAGGCAUUCUUUGUGUGACAUCUUCCUCAGGAUCUCCCCUAGCAUUGCCACAUAAACCCCAUUUCUUAGCAUCUGCUAUUUUGUACAUACUGGCUAAAGGGAUGAAAGAAGAUGCUUUAUCAAACCUGGUUUUCAAUAAUGCACUUUUUCCUGUUUGAGGAGCCCCAUGAACAUGUCUGCACUGAUGUUCCCGCAACACAAAACAAAAGCAGAAGACAGAGUGAUGAGAGAAGAGAAAAAAAGAGAGAAAUAUUAGUUGACAUGAAAAGCCAACCAAACAAAACUCUAUGAAGAAAUGGAGAUUUCACAUAGCAAUUAAAGUUUUUCAAGUUUUUUUCAGGCAAGAGCAGACCAUAGAACAGUGUUGGAGAAUCUUUUCGGUACCGAGUGGCAAAACGGGAGCACACGCGCACAGGGGAGCACUGGAAACUAGAAGAGAAGCUCCCCGGCGCGAAUGCGAGGGAGCGCCGGAAACCGGAAGAAAACCCCCAGCCUUUUCAGCCAUUUUUCAGCAAAAAAUGCCCACAGGAAUGUAUUGACUCACUUAGUGACUGCCAUAGUUGCUUUACAACUACUGCAAAAAAUAUCAUAAAAUUGGAUCAGUCACAUGGAUGCCUCAACUUAUGACCGUCAUCUUUUAUGAAGAGAAUUCUGGACCUCAUUACAAUCAUAAGGUUUAAGCUUUCACUGAUCAACUCAUGAGUAGGUGUUUGUACUCUUAGAAGAGGCUUGUUAUCAUGUACCUGACUAU